GUCUGAGGCCAUAUCACCCUAAACAUGCCUGAUCUUGUCUAAUCUCAGAAACUAAGCAGGAUCAGGCCUGGUUAGUACUUGGAUGGAAGACAAUCUUAAGAAGAGACUGCUCAGAGA
rnacentral:rRNA from 1 species